GGCACUAUUUUUGUAUGUGUCUUAUGGAAAUCACACUCGGAAAUGCUGACAGCAGGCUUCAGGACAGCUGAGCCUUGCUAGACACCAGGAAGCCCAUGGCCCUGGUGGCGCCUUUCAACAUGACAGAUCCACAGCCUGCCAUUGCAGGAGGAAUUUCUGAAGUCGAGAUCAUCUCCCAACAAGUUGAAGAAGAAACCAAGAGCCUUGCUCCUGUGCAGCUCGUGAAUUUUGCCUAUCGAGACUUGCCCCUGGCUGCCGUCGACCUGUCCACAGCAGGAUCACAGCUUCUGUCAAAUCUGGACGAGGAAUACCAAAGAGAAGGGUCUAACUGGCUGAAGCCAUGCUGUGGGAAGAGAGCAGCCGUGUGGCAGGUAUUUUUGCUCAGUGCGAGUCUCAACAGUUUCCUGGUAGCCUGUGUAAUAUUGGUGGUGAUUCUCCUGACUCUGGAACUUCUAAUAGAUAUAAAGCUUCUCCAGUGUGAGUAGCAAGAGGGAUACCUAUGCAAAUACGUAUGAUGUCGAUAUUCACUGUGCAUCUAUCUGUAACCAUCAGGGGUCCCCAAUAGGCAGGCUGGGAGGUGCCCCCUGCCUGAUGCCAAAGCCAACCCAUGGCCCCCUGGUUCACGGGGUUGGCCCCUGGGGAGGGACGCAUCUGGCAGCUCCUCUUGUCACCCAGAAUCAGUAUGCCCUCUCUGCCCCAUGUGGCCUCUCCAGUUCUCUUCCCCUUCAUUCCAUGAGCAGAAACUGAUGAGAUGAAAAAAAUGUUAGGGACC
rnacentral:lncRNA from 1 species